rnacentral:rRNA from 1 species
CCUACGGGAGGCAGCAGUGAGGAAUAUUGGUCAAUGGACGAGAGCCUGAACCAGCCAAGUAGCGUGAAGGAUGACUGCCCUACGGGUUGUAAACUUCUUUUAUAUGGGAAUAAAAUGUGCCACGUGUGGGAUUUUGUAUGUACUAUAUGAAUAAGGAUCGGCUAACUCCGUGCCAGCAGCCGCGGUAAUACGGAGGAUCCGAGCGUUAUCCGGAUUUAUUGGGUUUAAAGGGAGCGUAGAUGGGUUGUUAAGUCAGUUGUGAAAGUUUGCGGCUCAACCGUAAAAUUGCAGUUGAAACUGGCAGUCUUGAGUACAGUAGAGGUGGGCGGAAUUCGUGGUGUAGCGGUGAAAUGCUUAGAUAUCACGAAGAACUCCGAUUGCGAAGGCAGCUCACUGAACUGCAACUGACACUGAGGCUCGAAAGUGUGGGUAUCAAACAGGAUUAGAUACCCUUGUAGUC